rnacentral:rRNA from 1 species
ACUCAAAGGAAUAGACGGGGGCCCGCACAAGCGGUGGAGCAUGUGGUUUAAUUCGACGCAACGCGAAGAACCUUACCUGGGCUCGAACGGCUUUGGCAAGCUCUUAGAAAUAGGAGCCCUCUCGCAAGAGACUGAAGUCGAGGUGCUGCAUGGCUGUCGUCAGCUCGUGUCGUGAGAUGUUGGGUUAAGUCCCGCAACGAGCGCAACCCUUGUCCUGUGUUGCUAACCGAAAGGUGCACUCUCAGGAGACCGCCAGCGAUAAGCUGGAGGAAGGUGGGGAUGACGUCAAGUCAUCAUGGCCUUUAUGUCCAGGGCUACACACGUGCUACAAUGGACGGUACAGACCGCUGCAAACCCGCGAGGGGGAGCAAAUCGGAAAAAACCGUUCUCAGUUCGGAUUGCAGGCUGCAACUCGCCUGCAUGAAGCUGGAAUCGCUAGUAAUGGCAUAUCAGAACGAUGCCGUGAAUACGUUCCCGGGCCUUGUACACACCGCCCGU